AUUGAACGCUGGCGGCAGGCCUAACACAUGCAAGUCGAACGAGUGGCGGACGGGAGAGUUAUGUGUGGAAAAGUGCCUGAGGGGGGGGGAACACUAGGGGAAACGGUAGCUAAUACCGCAACCCAUGAGAUGUGCCCAGAUGGGAUUAGCUAGUUGGUGGGGUAACGGCUCCCCAAGGCGACGAUCCCUAGCUGGUCUGAGAGGAUGACCAGCCACACUGGAACUGAGACACGGUCCAGACUCCUACGGGAGGCAGCAGUGGGGAAUAUUGCACAAUGGGCGCAAGCCUGAUGCAGCCAUGCCGCGUGUAUGAAGAAGGCCUUCGGGUUGUAAAGUACUUUCAGCGGGGAGGCGUUACCCGCAGAAGAAGCACCGGCUAACUCCGUGCCAGCCGCCGCGGUAAUUC
rnacentral:rRNA from 1 species